UACGUAGGUGGCUAGCGUUGUCCGGAAUUACUGGGCGUAAAGCGUGCGCAGGCGGCCUCUUAAGUCAGAUGUGAAAUCCCCGGGCUUAACCUGGGAACUGCGUUUGAAACUGGGAGGCUUGAGUGUGGAAGAGGGGGGUGGAAUUCCAGGUGUAGCAGUGAAAUGCGUAGAGAUCUGGAGGAACACCGAUGGCGAAGGCAGCCCCCUGGGCUGACACUGACGCUCAUGCACGAAAGCGUGGGGAGCAAACAGG
rnacentral:rRNA from 1 species